ensembl:misc_RNA Metazoa_SRP Metazoan signal recognition particle RNA
GCUGGGCGUGAUGGCUCAUGCCUGUAAUCCCAGCACUUUGGGAGGCCGAGGCAGGCGGAUCACGAGGUCAGGAGUUCGAGACCAGCCUGACCAACAUGGAGAAACCCCGUCUCUACUAAAUUUUUGGUAGAGACGGGGUUUCUCCAUGUUGGUUAGGCUGGUUUGGAACUCCUGACCUCCAGGUGAUCCGCCCACCUCAG